GAAACUGCUGAAGCUGCCAUGUCUAAGAAGAAAACUUGGAGAAGAAUUUUCUUCUUAGACAUGGCAGCGUCAACAGUUUC
rnacentral:miRNA from 1 species